rnacentral:rRNA from 1 species
GAGUAACUAUGACUCUCUUAAGGUAGCCAAAUGCCUCGUCAUCGUAAAACACAAAACGGCUCUGGCUGGCACCGGCACCCUCGACGGGGGGCGCCACCGCCGGCUGGGUCUAUACGCGGGAAAAAGGCGGCUCUGGCUGGCACCGGCACCCCCUCGGGGGGCCACCGCUAAGCUGGGGCUGGCUCCAGCCGGCACCGGCGCCCCUCGGGGCGCCACCGCUGACUGGGGUUACCUUACAAAGGCGGCUCUGGCCGGCACCGGCACCCCUCGGGGGGCCACCGCUGAGCUAAGGGCUGACUCCGGCCGGCACCGGCACCCCCGACGGGGGGUACCACCGCUGGCUGGGGUUACCUUCGAAGGGCGUCUACGGCCGGCACCGGCACCCCUCGGGGGCCACCGCUGAGCCGACGUCUUUCUAAAGCGCGAAAUGCCGUCAUUGACAAUGCGGCUUCGUGCCCAGUACCGAAGGCCUCGCUUUGCCCUCGCAUCACCCAGUACCUUCCUAAUUACGGGUCGGGGCCGGUGCUCUCGUGGGGGGGAAUAGGUCUUUAGCGUCAAAUUGCGUGGAGGGUAGGGCUUUCCACACUGCCGAAAGGCAGGAGAGCCCAGCAACCCGACUAGCAGCCAAGCCCCUUGCUGGCUCCCCCUCCCUCGGGGGGGGGAUCGGCCUGGGGAAGGUCCAGAGACUGAAAGGCGCGAAGGAAAGACACAGUCCACCGAACAUAAAAUGCCCUGGGAACAGUACGGGACGGGUGGCUUGCACCGGCUUCGGCCGGGAGCAUUGGCCAGUGGUCUCAUCAUUACUCGAUACCAGCGGCUACCGGGCUCUCGACGCCCCCAACCCCCUUCCAGCGGGCCUCGACUUUCCUGCCGGGGACUGGCCCCCUCUGCAUCCGUGCAAAGGGGGGACCGGGACGAAGGCGGGUCUCCAUCGGGGUCCAGGUGAGGGGGGGGGCCGGGGCGGUCUUUGGACGCCGCGAUUCCAGGCCUCCACGACCUGCUUAAUGCNGGGUCUAUCGGGUGGUGCGUGUUUCUGCGGCUCCAGAGCGGGGGCCCACCCUCAGGUGUUAAUUUGUGACGCGCAUGAAUGGAUUAAUGAGAUUCCCACUGUCCCUACCUACUAUCUAGCGAAACCACAGCCAAGGGAACGGGCUUGGCACAAUUAGCGGGGAAAGAAGACCCUGUUGAGCUUGACUCUAGGCACAAACGCGAGGUGAUUCUAAAGGUGUAGCAUAGGUGGGAGGGCACAGCCCGACCUUGAAAUACCACCACUUUCGACAUUGCUUUGCUAAUGCUGUAACGAACAAACGGCCCCCUGGUUCCCCGUCCGCAAGGGCGGGUGCCGGGUAAGGUCAUAUUCUAGCGUUUUCCGGGUUCACACGAUGGCUUGGCUCCUCUGGGUGAGUACUCUGGGACCACAAACUGGGCCUCCGGGUUCGGUGCGUGCUGCUUCUGGGGGAACCAGGGAUGGUUGGGCUGUCCUCUGUGGGCGAAUAUCGGUAUGUAAGCCGUGUAGCAGACCAUUUGUGUUGGGGAGUUUGGCUGGGGCGGAAAACUGCUACACGGCAACGGCAGUCUCCUAAGGUCCACUCAGAGACGACAGAAACGUCUCGUAGAGCAUAAAGGNAAAAGUGGGCUUAACUCGCAUUUUCAGUAGUAAUGUGAAGCAAGAAAUUGAGGCUUAACGAUCCUUAGCGGCGGGUGCCAGCCCACGCUUGAGGUGAGAAAAGUUACCACAGGGAUUGAGGCGCCCCCCCCCCUUCCAAACCUUCCGAGCAGCGGGAGGGGGAGACCAGGCAAAUCGAAGGUACUUUCUCAGGGGAGGCGUAGAGCGGGGCGAUCUAUGGGACGAGGGGGCUUCACCUGGCCGGGAGGAUGGGGGCGGUAAUUCGCCUCUGUCCAUGCCCCCGCGUUCCGCUGACUGCUUUGUUCAAAGGCGACGGGUUCCGAUUGACGACGAAAGUCCAGCUCGGGGGAGUAGCGCAGAUUUCCCCUGGGCACGGGCGACGCACCUAGAUGCUACGACGGUCUCCAGACGGCUGAACAAACUGGGCCUAUACGGGGCGCUUUAUCCUUGGUGGUGGGGGGGGGUUCGCCCCUCUCCCCCCUCGGUGUCGGCACCUCAUGGCCUGGGCUCAGGGCGCUUUAUCCUCGGUCCCUCCCCUCUCGGGGGGAGGGCCUUGGUGUCCGGCGCCUCGGGAUGAACGCCACGACGGAACGGCGAGGGUACCAACGAGGCGGGUCUAACCCGCUUCCAAAACUGCUUCUCUCGCCAGCGGGAGAGGCGGGAGGUAAUAAUCCUUCGUUCGGGGCUUAGUAGCAGGCAACGAGGCCAUCCAGCCUACAGCACGAUAAGGGGGAGAGCAGCCUUCAGUGGCGGCCGAGCCCGACUGUGCAAAAGGCGGGUACAAACGAUGGUCAAGUGUCUCAGUGACUGGACGGGUGUGGGCUUAGCUGGGCGUCCGCGAGACGACGGGAGGGGGUGGCGCGGUGGGGUGCAGGGCGGGGAAGGGUUCGUCCCCCCAGCCUGAAUCCUCGCUGCAAAGCCCCGCCUAUCCGAGGCGGCUAGAUUCCCGGCUCAGGCUUAAUGAACAGUCUAACCGAUCCCUCAGUAGCACCGCCCUCGCCCUCGCCCUCGCCCCAUCCGUGGGGAGAGGAAAGGGGCAAUAACGGGGGCACCGCGAAGCGGGGAUUCCUCGAUCCGACAACCCACCACUGCAGGGCCGGAUCGGGGGGCAGUCGAAGGCGGGGCGGACUCCAGGGGCUCUCGGGCUCCAAAGGGGACUGCCCUGCCGGGGAAGCGGGGAAACGCCCUGAAGGCCUCGUGCCAGAAGGGAAGAUCCUCGUACCGCCCGGGACCAUGAGGGGGGGGGGGGAAAGGGCAACCGAACCCCCCCCCAUGUUUUAAGCCUAGGGCCGAGGCUGUGGACUUAGCCAUUUUUCGAAAAAUUCGUACUUAUGAAAUUUUCGGCACAAAAAUGACUCAAUACGGGGAAAAAAUGACUCAAUACGGGCUGGUAGGCGUAUUAAAUCAGGCUUUGGCAGCAGUUUCCACCACUCCCCCCCAUGCGGACGGGGGGGUAGCCCAGUGGUCGAAGUGAACUGGCUUGUGGCUGCCAAGCGUUCAUAGCGACGUAGC